AAAAACAAAGCACAGAAUAUUUUAGUUGGCUUUUCUGCUUAAUGUUAUUGUUACACUUAACUUUUGGAAACAUAGAAGUGUAUACAGAUGUUCAGGGUCAAAUCGAUGAAAUGGUUGAGCCAAAAAAGAACUUCAUAUUACUUUUGCACAGGUCCUAACUCAGUGUACGUGGUUUAUGCCCCACUAUACAAUCCAAUAAACUUCAGGCUGAGGUCUUCCAGUGCUGAGAAUUUAUUUGGCAAGCAAAUACUCAAUAAGGAGUUAGGUGGAACAGUGGAGAGAAAAAUAUUCGCGAUGGGCAAUUUGAGAUCCAAGUAGAAACGGAAUGGCUAUUGUUUAAAGGCUUAGAGACUCGGCAAAUGGUAUUACAUGGUAAAUGGUUAAAUGGUAUUGUGACAGCUUAGACAAGGUUGCAGAAGGGUUGCGUUACGUCGCAAAAUCUUCACAUCAUAUUAUUUCCGCUAUUGCUGAUAUUACUGAGUCCAGUUCCAUGAUUUGACUGAAAACGGACGAAAAAUGUUGCAUGCCUUCUUAUUCGAAAUCUGUGGAUUGCAAGGAGGUUUCACAUUGGAGAAACGCGAGCAGCAGUGUAACGAUUACAUCCGGCGCACGGUCGGACGUGAUAAGAUCGUGCUCAUGCUAGUAAGCGGUGGAGUCGAUUCCGCCGUUCGUGCUGCCCUUCUCCAUAAAGCUAUAAGCAUAAAGCUACAGGUGAUAACUCGUCGCGAGUGCAGGGCAUCUAUAUCCAUUCUUAUCUUUUUCUUUUUUUUUAUAUUUUAUCUUUACGAAAAGAUACAAUAUGUUUGCUAAUUUACUUUAUUUAAGUUAUUCAGCGACAGUUAACAAGCGUUUUAGUAAUUUACCUUGGGCUACUUGAAAUUAUUAUUACAAGUUUCAUUUAAGUUCAUGGUAAAAGUUGAAAUUCAAAGUGUAUGUCUAAUGGCACAACGGUAUAGCAUCGGAGCGGUACGUAGAAGAUUUAGGGUUCGAUUCCCUAAAGAGUUCAGUUACAUUCCAAUGUAAAAAUAAAUUCCAUUGGGAAAAUUCUGAUUUAUGAGUUACAAAAUCUCUAAGUAAAAUUAGAGUGCCUUAACCAAAGACU